UUUUCAUGCACCGGUUACAACAACAACAUCAGCAACAAAGGGGUGUGACAAUGGCAAAGAUAACUCCUGGGAUGGAGAAGAGACAGAAAAGGCUGGAGGAGAAAAAAAGUCUAUCGAGAGUAACUAGAGCACGCACAGUCAAACAGAAUUCUGCAUCAUCGAAAGUACCAAAUGAGCCAGCCAG